rnacentral:rRNA from 1 species
CCAAUAGCGUAUAUUAAAGUUGUUGCAGUUAAAAAGCUCGUGGUUGAAUUUCGGGAUUGGCGCAUCGGUCGUGCCUCACGGGGUAUGAACUGGUGCAGUCAAUUUCUCACCUUCUGGAGAACCGCGAUGUCCUUAAUUGGAUGCCGCGGGGAACCAGGACCUUUACUUUGAAAAAAUUAGAGUGUUUAAAGCAGGCAUUUUUGCUUGAAUACAUUAGCAUGGAAUAAUAAAAUAGGACGGCAUGGUUCUAUUUUGUUGGUUUCUAGGACCACCGUAAUGAUUAAUAGGGAUAGUUGGGGGCAUUAGUAUUCAAUUGUCAGAGGUGAAAUUCUUGGAUUUAUUGAAGACUAACUACUGCGAAAGCAUUUGCCAAGGAUGUUUUCAUUAAUCAAGAACGAAAGUUAGGGGAUCGAAGACGAUCAGAUACCGUCGUAGUCUUAACCAUAAACUAUGCCGACUAGGAAUCAGACGAUGUUAAUUUUUUAAUGACUCGUUUGGCACCUUAC